GACGAACGCUGGCGGCGUGCUUAACACAUGCAAGUCGAACGGAAAGGCCCUGCUUUCAUGGUACUCUCGUGUCGAACGGGUGAGUAACACCUGUGUGUUCUGCCCUUCUCUUUUUGAUAUUCCUUGAAAACUGUGUCUCUUACCGCUUAUUAGCCCUUUUUCUUGUUAUGGUUGUAUAGUUUUUUCGGUGUAGGAUGAGCUCGCUGCCUAUCAGCUUGUUUGUGGGGUAAUGGCCUACCUAGGCGGUGACGGGUAGCCGGCCUGAGAGGGUGGACGGCCAAAAUGGGACUGAGGUAAGGGCCAGAAUCCGAAGGGGGGCAAGAGGGGGGAAUAAUGGAAAAAGGGGGGAAGCCUGAUGGAGCGAAGGCGGGUGGGGGAAGAAGGGCUUUGGGGUGGAAAAUCGGUUCGGUAGGGAAGAAGGUGUGAGUGACGGUAACUAGAAAAGAAGCACCGGCUAACUACGUG
rnacentral:rRNA from 1 species